rnacentral:rRNA from 1 species
UGGGAUACUCUGGGAAACUGGGGAUAAUACUGGAUAUUAGGCUAUGCCUGGAAUGGUUUGCCUUUGAAAUGUUUUUUCGCCUAAGGAUAGAUCUGCGGCUGAUUAGGUCGUUGGUGGGGUAAUGGCCCACCAAGCCGAUGAUCGGUACGGGUUGUGAGAGCAAGAGCCCGGAGAUGGAACCUGAGACAAGGUUCCAGACCCUACGGGGUGCAGCAGGCGCGAAACCUCCGCAAUGUACGAAAGUGCGACGGGGGGAUCCCAAGUGUCAUGCUUUUUUGUAUGACUUUUCAUUAGUGUAAAAAGCUUUUAGAAUAAGAGCUGGGCAAGACCGGUGCCAGCCGCCGCGGUAACACCGGCAGCUCGAGUGGUAGCUGUUUUUAUUGGGCCUAAAGCGUUCGUAGCCGGUUUGAUAAGUCUUUGGUGAAAGCUUGUAGCUUAACUAUAAGAAUUGCUGGAGAUACUAUUANACUUGAAGUCGGGAGAGGUUAGAGGUACUACCGGGGU